rnacentral:lncRNA from 1 species
UUUAAAUGACAAAGUUUUCAAAGAACUUUUUUUCUUCAGGACUUGAGAGAAAGAGAAGAGGCAGAAAUGAAACGGAUUGAUUUUCUUGCCUUGCCUUCCCUGUCCUUGCAUAAGGAAGACAGUAGGAAAACUAUGGAAGGUGUUCUGGCCUAGCUUUGUCCUGCUUGGCCCCUGGUGUCCUGAAGUGGUUAUUCUUGAAGCAAGAUGUGACUGUUGACUCCCUGUCACCAAACCCUUUAUAAUACAUGUAGUGCCAACGUGACUAAGAAAUCUAGGCCCAGAAUAAAAAUCAAAAAAGCUCCACUUGAAAUGUCUCAAAGCAGAAAUAAUGAGCCUUUGUAUUAGUAAGAAUUAUAGCAGCACUAAAAAUCUACCCCUAACUGAGGUCCUGCCGGAAUUUGGGAGAAAGCACAGUUGUACCAGUUCUUGCUCACAUGAAGAAGGUAUCUGGAGGUACUUAGAACAGAGAGCAAGAGGAAGUGCUCUUGUUAUAUAAGUUCUUUGGAGUGGAAAUGCUGCCCUAGACAUAUAAUGUUUUAGAGACUACAGGGUCUCUGUAGAAGAUCUAGUUCAUCGUUCUCAUUUCACAGAGAAAUGAAGAGAACUUCCCAUGGUUGAACAGAAUUAGCAACAGAUCAGAGUUGAGAAUCUGGGUCUCCUGUCCCCUUGAAAGAAUUGUUUCCUAAUUAAUGUGUAGAGGUUUCUUGGCUCCAAAACUAUAAGUAUGUUUUUGACUGUUUUCCUGUCUUCACAGAUAACAUUUGACAACAAGGCCCAUAGUGGAAGAAUUAAAAUAAGUUUAGAUAAUGACAUUUCCAUCAGAGAAUGUAAAGACUGGCAUGUAUCUGGAUCAAUUCAGAAGAACACUCAUUACAUGAUGAUCUUUGAUGCCUUUGUCAUUCUGACUUGCUUGGUUUCAUUAAUCCUCUGCAUUAGAUCUGUGAUUAGAGGACUUCAGCUUCAGCAGGAGUUUGUCAAUUUUUUCCUCCUCCAUUAUAAGAAGGAAGUUUCUGUUUCUGAUCAAAUGGAAUUUGUCAAUGGAUGGUACAUUAUGAUUAUUAUUAGUGACAUAUUGACAAUCAUUGGAUCAAUUCUAAAAAUGGAAAUCCAAGCUAAGGUAAUUUUUUUCCUAAUCAUGCUAUUGUUAGUGUCAGAUUUGCACUAAUGGUAAUGUAUUUUUCCAGAAUGUAAGAAUUUUCAGAAUGAAUUGUUUCUUCCAAACUGUAUAUCAAGUAGACUUGAAAUUGGUAAUGGUAAUUUUCUUAAAUCUAGUCAGGAGGUCUCUUAGGCAGAGUUUUUCAAAGUGUGAUCCACAAACCAUUGCAUCAGAAUCAUUGGGUGCCUGGUAAAGUGUACCAUGUUAGACCUACUGAAUUCAGACUCUUCGGCGGGGCCUGUGAAUUCUUACACACACCAAAAUUCAUACACAACCAAGGUAACUAAGGUAAGAGUUUUUUUUUUUUUUUUAAUCUUACAAGAAAUGCUCGAAUCUUUAACAAAAAUGAGUGGGGCUAUAGGGGAAAGUGAGGUCAAGGCACUAUGGUGUGCAUGCUUGCAUUUGUUUCCUCCGUCCAUUCAAAGUGAGAAUGCUCCCAUUUUCUUACUUUACCAUUGAUGUGCUACAAGCUUAUUUAUUUUAAGACUAACCUAGCCUAAAAAUCAACUGUCCCCACAAAAUAAAAAUCACAUUAAAAAAACUAAUAGUGUUCAGACUAAUCUUGCUCAAACUUAUGUUUCCCUAGUCUUGAUGCAACUGAUUGAGUCACCUGGGGAGUUGGUUAUAAACCUGGGCAGAGACCCCAAAUGCAAUGGCUCAGAGAAGAUAGGAGCUUAUUUCUGUCUUAUGCAAUAGUCAGAAUGGGUUUUACAGACUGGUGAGUAGCUCAACAUCUCACAGUCAUUCAGGCACCCAUGUUCCUCCCAUUUUGUUUCUCUGCCACCCCUUAAGGACUUGCCCUGACUGCAUGAUUAUUGCCGUGUUGCCUCAAACAGGUUGCAGCUUAUGGGAAGCAAAAACACGGUAUGGUAGAAGCUCUCCCAUAGACUGAUGGCUUGGCUCAAGAGUGGCCGACUUUAUUUCUGUACAUAUCCCACUGGAUAGAAUUUAGUCAAUCCUAACUGCAGAGGGAGCCAGGGAACACAGCCCAGGCAUGUGCCUAGGAAGGGGAGAAUGGGUUUAGGUUGACACUUAGCAGCUGCCACUAUAUGUGGCUAUAGUAUGUAUCAUUGGAA